rnacentral:rRNA from 1 species
UACGUAGGUGGCAAGCGUUGUCCGGAAUUAUUGGGCGUAAAGCGCGCGCAGGCGGUCCUUUAAGUCUGAUGUGAAAGCCCACAGCUCAACCGUGGAAGGUCAUUGGAAACUGGAGGACUUGAGUACAGAAGAGGAAAGCGGAAUUCCACGUGUAGCGGUGAAAUGCGUAGAGAUGUGGAGGAACACCAGUGGCGAAGGCGGCUUUCUGGUCUGCAACUGACGCUGAGGCGCGAAAGCGUGGGGAGCAAACAGG